rnacentral:lncRNA from 1 species
CAAGGGAAUAGAAUCCUAAGACACAUUGCUAACCAGUCAGGUGGUUUCCUCAAAGCCUGGACUUCCAGCUUCUCCUGGACCCUAAACCAUGCUGACGGCAGGAGCUCCACCAUAGCUUCUGCCCAGUUCUCUGGCUAUCUUCCCAAGUCUUGGGCCUUAAGAGCUGCAGUGAUAGAGGGAAGAUUUAAACCUACAACCCAGCUCCCAGAGGCCACCACCCUGUAGCUAGUCCUAGGGGAAAUCUUUGAGAGAUGAAAAGCCUAAGGCCUAGCAGGUGGACAGACAGACUGCCAUGCCAAAGACAGUGACUGUGCACUGUGGGGGAAACGGCCUGGGAGCCAGAACUCGCAGACUAGGUUGGAAACUUCCUAUUUCUUUGACCUAGGGUUCCCUCUGUUCAGAAUGCUCUCGCCCUUUCUCUCUCAGCCUGACACUUCCUCCUCCCGAAAGUCCUAUCCCUGGCCAGGACCAGAAAGCACUCUAUUCAUCUGGCUCCUGAAUCCUGAUCCAGGAAGAAGGGGAAGCUGGGACUAUGCAGAAGAAGAGACCAAAUCCACAGUGACAUGGAUCCCAUGGGAGAGCCCGGCUUGUGCUAUCCCUCACCAGGAUUUCUCUGUGUAGCCCUGAAACUUGCUCGGUAGACCAGGCUGACCUCAAACUCACAGAGAUCCACAGGCCUCUGCUGGAAUUGAAGCUCUGGGCCACCGCUGCCACCAAAUCUUUUCCUUAAACGGCCCAGAGCUCAGCCUGUGGCCUCGGUGGGAACAAAGUAAAAUCUUGCAAUGAAGGCAGUCACAAUGCUGAGACUCCUACAUGUCACCAUCUACAUGGGUAAGAUUCCUACUAUGUCACUCACUAUGUCACUCGCAGAUAAUGUGGCCUUGGGCUAGUCAUUUCUGUGCCUGUGUUUUCUCAGUGGUGAAAUGAAGCUGACUAUGGUCCCUCUGAGGCCAGUGCAAUGGCUCAGUGAGUAAAGGUGCUGGCCAGGGCCUGGCAAUCUGAGAUCAAGCUGCGGGACCCACAGGGCAAAAGGAGAGAACGGAUUCCCACAAGUUGUCCUCUGACCUCUGUAUGUGUGUCCUGGCAUGUACAAACACAUGUGCGGACUUGCACGUGCACACACAAGAUACACACACACACACACACACACACUCACACUCACAAAUAAAAAAAGUUCAAUUCUUCUGCAGAGAGAGGUGUGAGGAAGAGCUGAGUCAGCACAGACAGGAUGCUUCUCUGGAGUGCUGGCAUGCGUGUAGAUCCUACAGCACCUAGCACCCUCAGUCUGGCCUCCUCGACUCUGGACUGCUGUAGACAAUCGCCAUGGGAUUGGUGGUGCGGAUGGAGAAUGGUCAGUGUUUACCAACAGGUGAUCAGGGCGGGAGGAUCGGUUGACACCUCUCUUGCAGAGCUGGGGGAGUCUCUCAGGACGAGUUUGUUCUCGUGAUGCUUAGUUCUGUUCUUGUGGACCUGGAUUCGUUUCCUUAAAAGCAGGUUCUCAUGAGUUGUGCCUGAUCCUUGGGUUUCUCCUCUUCCCCGUGCCUGCCCUUCCAAUUCUCUGUAAGCACAAGGCCAAGGUGGCUUCCUAGAAGCCAAGUGGAUGCCCACACCAGGCACUUGGACUUCAAGCCGCCACUGUUGAAAGCCAAAUGCUCUU